rnacentral:rRNA from 1 species
UACGGGGGGAGCAAGCGUUGUUCGGAUUUACUGGGCGUAAAGGGCGCGUAGGCGGUCAGCACAAGUCAGUUGUGAAAUCUCCGAGCUUAACUCGGAAAGGUCAACUGAUACUGUGCGACUAGAGUGCAGAAGGGGCAACUGGAAUUCUUGGUGUAGCGGUGAAAUGCGUAGAAAUCAAGAGGAACACCUGCGGCGAAGGCGGGUUGCUGGGCUGACACUGACGCUGAAGCGCGAAAGCCAGGGGAGCGAACGGG